rnacentral:rRNA from 1 species
UGGGGAAUAUUGCACAAUGGGCGCAAGCCUGAUGCAGCCAUGCCGCGUGUGUGAAGAAGGCCUUCGGGUUGUAAAGCACUUUCAGCGGGGAGGAAGGCGAUAAGGUUAAUAACCUUGUCGAUUGACGUUACCCGCAGAAGAAGCACCGGCUAACUCCGUGCCAGCAGCCGCGGUAAUACGGAGGGUGCAAGCGUUGUCCGGAUUUAUUGGGCGUAAAGCGAGCGCAGGCGGUUUCUUAAGUCUGAUGUGAAAGCCCCCGGCUCAACCGGGGAGGGUCAUUGGAAACUGGGAGACUUGAGUGCAGAAGAGGAGAGUGGAAUUCCAUGUGUAGCGGUGAAAUGCGUAGAUAUAUGGAGGAACACCAGUGGCGAAGGCGGCUCUCUGGUCUGUAACUGACGCUGAGGCUCGAAAGCGUGGGGAGCAAACAGG